rnacentral:rRNA from 1 species
GACGAACGCUGGCGGCGUGCUUAACACAUGCAAGUCGAACGGAAAGGCCCUGCUUUUGUUGGUUGCUCGAUUGGCGCACGGGUGAGUAACACGUGAGUAUCCUGCCCUUGACUUUGGGAUAACUUCUGGAAACUGGGGCUCAUACCCGAUAUGAUCUCCUGCUGCAUGGUGUUGGUUGGAAAAUUUCGGCGGUUGGGGCUAGACUCGCGGCUUCUCAGCUUGUUUGUGUGGUAGUGGCUUACCAAGCCUUUGACGGGUAGCCCGCCUGAGAGGGUAAACGGGCACAUGGGGACUGAGAGAGGCACCAGAAGGCUAUGGGAGGCAGUAGGGGAGAAUAUGGCAGAAUAGGCGGAAGCCAGAGGCAGCAACGCUGGGUGCGGGAUAACGGCUUUCGGGUGGUAAACAGAUGUGGAAGGUAACGAAGAGGGAGUGACGGUAAUGGGUAAAGAAGCAACGGCUAACUACGUG